rnacentral:rRNA from 1 species
GAUGAACGCUGGCGGCGUGCCUAAUACAUGCAAGUCGAGCGAACAGACGAGGAGCUUGCUCCUCUGACGUUAGCGGCGGACGGGUGAGUAACACGUGGAUAACCUACCUAUACGACUGGGAUAACUUCGGGAAACCGGAGCUAAUACCGGAUAAUAUAUUGAACCGCAUGGUUCAAUAGUGAAAGACGGUUUUGCUGUCACUUAUAGAUGGAUCCGCGCCGCAUUAGCUAGUUGGUAAGGUAACGGCUUACCAAGGCAACGAUGCGUAGCCGACCUGAGAGGGUGAGCGGCCACACUGGAACUGAGACACGGUCCAGACUCCUACGGGAGGCAGCAGUAGGGAAUCUGCCGCAAUGGGCGAAAGCCUGACGGAGCAACGCCGCGUGAGUGAUGAAGGUCUUCGGAUCGUAAAACUCUGUUAUUAGGGAAGAACAAAUGUGUAAGUAACUAUGCACGUCUUGACGGUACCUAAUCAGAAAGCCACGGCUAACUACGUG